AUCUGGUUGAUCCUGCCAGUAGUCAUAUGCUUGUCUCAAAGAUUAAGCCAUGCAUGUGUAAGUACAUACUUUACAUAGUGGGAAACUGCGAAUGGCUCAUUAAAUCAGUUAUGGUUCUUAGAUCGUACAAUCCUACUCGGAUAACCGUAGUAAUUCUAGAGCUAAUACAUAGGCUUUGGCUCUGACCUCGCGGAAAGAGCGCGUUUAUUGGAUCAAAACCAGUCGGGUUCGCAAGGGCCCGUCGGUUGAGUGAGACUGGAUAACUUUGUGCUGAUCGCACGGCCUCGUGCCGGCGACGCAUCAUUCAAAUUUCUGCCCUAUCAACUUUCGAUGGUAGGAUAGUUGCCUACCAUGGUGGUAACGGGUGACGGAGAAUUAGGGUUCGAUUCCGGAGGGGAGCAUGAAACGGCUACCACAUCAAGGAAGGCAGCAGGCGCGCAAAUUACCCACUCCUGGCACGGGGGUAGUGACGAAAAAUAACAAUACGGGACUCUUUCGAGGCCCCGUAAUUGGAAUAGUACACUAAACCCUUUAACGAGGAUCUAUUGGAGGGCAAGUCUGGUGCAGCAGCCGCGGUAAUUCCAGCUCCAAUAGCGUAUAUUAAAAGUUGUUGCAGUUAAAAAAGCUCGUAGUUGGAUCUCGGGUCCAGGCUUGCGGUCCGACGCCUGUCAGUUACUGCUCGUCUGACCUACCUCCCAGUUUUUCGCCCUUGGUGCUCUUGACUGAGUGUCUCGGGUGGCCGGAACGUUUACUUUGAAAAAAAUUAGAGUGUUCAAAGCAGGCAAUAUCGCCUGAAUAAUGGUGCAUGGAAUAAUGGAAUGGGACCUCGGUUCUAUUUUUUGCUGGUUUUCGGGCUCGAGGUAAUGAUUAAGAGGGACUGACGGGGCAUUCGUAUUACAGUGUUAGAGGUGAAAUUCUUGGAUCGCCGUAAGACGAACUACUGCAGCAUUUGCCAACAUGUUUUCAUUAGUCAAGAACGAAAGUCAAGAGGUUCGAAGACGAUCAGAUACCGUCGUAAUUCUGACCAUAAACGAUGCCAACUAGCGAUCCGCCGGGUUGCUUCAAUGACUCGGCAAGGCGGAGGGAGGAAAACCAAAGUUUUUGGGUUCGGGGAAAUAAUUGCAAUGAAACAAAAAAUUGACGGAAGGGGCACCACCAGGGUGGAGCCUGCGGCUUAAUUGACUCAACACGGGAAAACUCACCCGGCCCGGACACUAUGAGGAUUGACAGAUUGAGCUCUUUCUUGAUUCGGUGGGUGGUGGUGCAUGGCCGUUCUUAGUUGGUGGAGCGAUUUGUCUGGUUAAUUCCGAUAACGAACGAGACUCUAGCCUACUAAAUGUUCGCCGAUCCCCAUUUGCGUCGGCGCAACUUCUUAGAAGGGACAAGUGGCGUUUAAUACACGAAGAUUAAUAACAGGUCUCUGUGAUGCCUUAGAUGUUCAGGGCCACGCGCAUACCUGAAGAAUCAGCGUGUCUCUGCCCUUGCCUGGAAAGGUCGGGUAACCCGUUGAACCUCCUUCGUGCUAAGGAGUUGGGGCUUGUAAUUCUUCCCAUAGACGAGGAAUUCCCAGUAUGCGCUGAGUCAUAAGCUCGCCGUUGAUUACGUCCUAGCAGCGCACACCACGCCCGUCCUUUACUACCGAUUAGGCGUUUAGUAACCUCGGAUUGGACGGAAAUGGUUGGCAACAACAAUGCCGAUGUGCCGAAGACGCGCUUGAACGCCUGGAAGUAAAGUCAACAAAGGUUUCUG
rnacentral:rRNA from 1 species